rnacentral:rRNA from 1 species
UCGUUGUUCUCGCUGUAGUGAGUAAGACGACUGACCAAACCAGAUGCAUAGGUAGCUUACAAACCUUCGAUUAUGUUGUAACAGCACGGCACACUCUGUACGUUGCGUCGGUAGGCGUUUAGUCAUACGUGUACGGAGACUGCGCUUACUGAACUGGGAAUCGACCUCGACUGCCAUUGAGAGGUAGUCCGCAACAAGCAAAUUAGGAGGAGGGUUUCCCUAACCUCUCCUAAAACCGAACAUCCCCUAGAUUAGGGGGAGUUUGGGACGGUAAGGGGAAGCUUUUGGUGGAGUUGGCUUGUUCCGGAGUUCGUACCGUCCAAGACGGCUGAAGGUACCGGUUCCAACAAGAGAAGUAACUCGUUCGCGUUAAUUUGUCCCCUCCUUCCUCAACUUUCAAGUCAUCGCAAUUACACUAACCCAAGUCUUACGUAAGGUGUGAGAGAGGUGCGAGAAGUAGAGGUCGUGUCCAAGACGCUGACGAGGUGACGAAUCGUCGUCGGUACAGAACGCAGAGGAAGAUCCAAUCUCUCUUUAACACACACUAAUCGUCCGCCGACCUGGUCCGCCUAAGGUGUCUGCCUGCCUUGAGUUGAGCGGUAGAAGACUCGCUUAAGUCUGGGUCGCAGGGUCGGUUAGGCUAUCACUCCCGUCUCGUCCUCCUCCGUGCGCAACUUCGGCGCCCGUGGGUACCUUUGCGUACUCGGAAGACCAGUAGCAGAGUCGCUGACCCAAGUACCUCCCGUCGUCGUGCAGCAGAGGACCUCGCUAUAGUAAUCACCCUAUCCGGCAUCGGAAAAGUAGUUUACGGAGGAUGCCGACAGGUCCAGUCUGAUACCAAGGCACCGUACGAACUUGGCGCUGAAGUUAAACGACCAGGCGUCACCCCUCUAGAUGACGAACGCAGCGUUGUUGCCGCAUCGCCUCAUAACCGAGAUGAAGAGGACGUUGGGAGACGUCACCCUACGAAUGCUGGGCGUGGCACCCGCGACCUAGGUUCACGGGUUCUAUGGUGGUCUGUUUACGAAGUACACGAGACUGUUCCUCAGGGAACGACAGCCUUGGCUCGACAACCACAAACCCUACCGUGUGUAACACAUGUCUAUAUCGUAGGAUUGGUUAAGUACCUGUUCCCGACUAGGCUACUUGAGCGGCGCCACGGACAAGCCUAGCUGUUCACAGCCACUUUUCCGUAUACAACGCCCCCCGUCGCUAAGAAGACCUUCUUAUGACUCGAGGCGCCUCUACAUACUGAGCCUCUGUGUAUGAACCUGUGGGGAAGGAACGUACUUAUUCCGAUCCUUCAACACAAGACCGUGUAAGUACCUACCUUUCAAGAAACACUAACCACCACAAUGGUUGUUGUUGUUCCACAACCGUACACCACUCCUUAUACUGAACCUCACCGCCAGAACCUCCCAGUAGUUGUUGUACAGGCUCCCGGAGAUACCUCACCGUCCACGAGGAGGUGAAUAACGGCGACAGUUGUUAGUCGAAAUACAUCGACUAAUGUCACUGUUCCUACACUUCUCUAUACUGUUCGACUUAUUAUCCACCUAGUGAGAACCUUUUAACGGACUUGUUACGCACAGUUUGCUAAGAACGCCGUAACGAAAGUCUCGGACACCACUAGCCGACCAACAGUAACCUCCAGGAUCCUGAAUAUGACCACCGUGCUAACUCGAUGUAAGUACCUAGGGCCUAGUCGUUGGCGGACACACCUUAAACCAACGAUUUGCCAGUAGGUUCUCGAAGCAAAUAUUGUACCGGCACUACCCAACGACUCAGGCGACUUAUUUCUCGCUUACACCACCUAUAAAUACUUAUUUCUAAUAGGAGACAGGAAGAACUUAUAAACACAAUAAUCGAAAUUAAGACCGGCUCAACGAAAAAAAAUGACGAAUACACAUUACACUAAGUUCUACCAGGAGAAAUAGAACGAACAAUAACAAAGUCAAAAUUCAGCUACCAGGAGAACUAGAAAGUAGAAGUUAUGGGAUGAUCAUAAAGACUUGUAGUUCAAGUCACAGAUCGAAACGGGAGAAGGACAACUUCUGACAAGCUUAGGACUUAAUUAUUUUAAGAUUUAAGAGG